CCGAGUUAUCAACUCCCAACCCCUGUGAAUCAUACCUACUUGUUGCCUCGGCGGACUCAGCCGCUCCCGUACGGGACGGCCCCAAGACCCUCUGAACUCUUUUCUAAUAAUGUAUCUUCUGAGGGUAAAACCAUAAUGAAUCA
rnacentral:misc_RNA from 1 species